rnacentral:rRNA from 1 species
GCGGCGUGCUUAACACAUGCAAGUCGAACGGGAUCCAUCAAGCUUGCUUGGUGGUGAGAGUGGCGAACGGGUGAGUAAUGCGUGACCAACCUGCCCUGUACUCUGGAAUAGCUCCUGGAAACGGGUGGUAAUGCCGGAUGCUCCACAUGGGUGCAUGCCUGUGUGGGAAAGGGUUUACCGGUAUGGGAUGGGGUCGCGUCCUAUCAGCUUGACGGCGGGGUAAUGGCCCACCGUGGCUUUGACGGGUAGCCGGCCUGAGAGGGCGACCGGCCACAUUGGGACUGAGAUACGGCCCAGACUCCUACGGGAGGCAGCAGUGGGGAAUAUUGCACAAUGGGGGGAACCCUGAUGCAGCGACGCCGCGUGCGGGAUGACGGCCUUCGGGUUGUAAACCGCUUUUGAUUGGGAGCAAGCGUUAAGUGAGUGUACCUUUCGAAUAAGCGCCGGCUAACUACGUGCCAGCAGCCGCGGUAAUACGUAGGGCGCAAGCGUUGUCCGGAAUUAUUGGGCGUAAAGGGCUCGUAGGCGGCUCGUCGCGUCUGGUGUGAAAGUCCAUCGCUUAACGGUGGAUCUGCGCCGGGUACGGGCGGGCUGGAGUGCGGUAGGGGAGACUGGAAUUCCCGGUGUAACGGUGGAAUGUGUAGAUAUCGGGAGGAACACCAAUGGCGAAGGCAGGUCUCUGGGCCGUUACUGACGCUGAGGAGCGAAAGCGUGGGGAGCGAACAGGAUUAGAUACCCUGGUAGUCCACGCCGUAAACGGUGGACGCUGGAUGUGGGGCCCAUUCCACGGGUUCCGUGUCGGAGCUAACGCGUUAAGCGUCCCGCCUGGGGAGUACGGCCGCAAGGCUAAAACUCAAAGAAAUUGACGGAGGCCCGCACAAGCGGCGGAGCAUGCGGAUUAAUUCGAUGCAACGCGAAGAACCUUACCUGGGCUUGACAUGUUCCCGGCGACAUCAGAGAUGGUGUUUCCCUUCGGGGCGGGUUCACAGGUGGUGCAUGGUCGUCGUCAGCUCGUGUCGUGAGAUGUUGGGUUAAGUCCCGCAACGAGCGCAACCCUCGCCCCGUGUUGCCAGCACGUCAUGGUGGGAACUCACGGGGGACCGCCGGGGUUAACUCGGAGGAAGGUGGGGAUGA